CAGCAGCCGCGGGAAUACGAAGGGGGCUAGCGUUGCUCGGAAUGACUGGGCGUAAAGGGCGCGUAGGCGGCACAGUCAGUCAGAUGUGAAAUUCCUGGGCUUAACCUGGGGGCUGCAUUUGAGACGGCUGAGCUUGAGUUCGGAAGAGGGUCGUGGAAUUCCCAGUGUAGAGGUGAAAUUCGUAGAUAUUCGGAAGAACACCAGUGGCGAAGGCGGCUUACUGGCUCAUUCUAGACGCUGAGGUGCGAAAGCGUGGGGAGCAAACAGGAUUAGAUACCCCGGUAGUCCCUGUCUCUUAUAA
rnacentral:rRNA from 1 species